AAAUCACUUGUUGAUAAUGGAAGCUCCUUCAAAUUUAAUCACAGGUCGCUGGUUUAUCCAAUAAUAGCGUUUCGGCAGCCAAAUCGAAGAACAUAUCUAUUUGGGACUGCUUUUCGGCAUCACGACUUUUUGAAUAAAUAUUUUUUUUUUUUUCAAAGUCUUUCACACCUGCUGCUUGAUUUAGAAGGUCUUCUUCUGGUUCAUCUGGCAUUCCGGGGUUCUCCGUAUCAGUCUCUCUGACACUGCCAGUUUCCUUGGCCUUUUGAGUAUUUUUAAAAUUAUUUUUAAACUCCUAACUCAACUUGAUUUCAAAAUCAAAGACAGUAAUAAUAAUGCAGUAAUAAUGUGACGUAAGCAGUUUAGUAAAUUUUUACUUAAAAAGCUAAAGCAAUAUAACAUGGAGAAUACACUGUACUCAUGUCCAGUGAGUACAUGCGAGAGGGAGAAUUCACAUUAUGAACCAAAAAAAAUCUCCAUUAGGCAGCAUUCAUACCUGUUACUUGGCUAUAUUACAAAAUUAAAUAUUGAAUGGAAAGAUUGGUCAAAAUAGAAGUAAUAAAUCUUAAUUUUGGGAGAGAGGAGGCUCAGACCACGAUAUGUAUUUCAGCUUUACUGUUCGGAAUAUAAUUUAUUUUUAGUAACAGAAGAAGUGAUAAUACUAAUAAGUAAAAGCCAUUACUCAAAUGAAAUAUCUCUGAACAACUUGGAUACAAAUUUUGGACAAGAUAACAGAUACUAUCUGUUCAAGGGACAGCUGUAUUUUAUUAAUGCAAAAGAAAAUGACGAGACAUAAAAUUUAAUUGACGACUUUGAAUAAUUCUGGUGAAAUUUGAGAUUUUUUGCUCUUCAGUUCCCCUCAUAUGCAACAAGACUGGUUGUUAUUCCUUGCACCUCUCAUUAUGCUCAGGUAUAUCAAUUAUUAUAGUCACAUUAUUUUUUUGCAGAAAAUUUUAAUAAUAAUGUACCCUAAUUUGCGCACUUUACAAUGUGUAAUUAAAAUAUUUAUAUGCUAGAAGUUGUAGAAUAUUUUGCAAAAAAAGUAAACUAACAUCAACUCAGUUUUAAGAAUAAACAAUUAUAGAUUGCUUUCUUAUAAUAGCCUCACAUAUACGUUUUAAAAUAAGACAAUUACUAAUAGUAAUACUGUACGAGGAUAUGAAUAAAGGGAAAGUGAAUUUAGUAAUCAAAACUUUUAUUGUUUGACAGAAAAAAUUAGAAAAUGUUGCUCUAAAAAGGACUAGAAUAAUUUAAGCAAACAUAAUUUGCUGUGUUAUAGAUACUUUCUUCAAUUGGCUUAAUUUUUAUGAUCUAGAUUCGAAUGAUGGAACACAAUAUUUCUUUUCUUCAUCUCCAUCGAUACAUAUCAUUCCAGGUUCACAAUCGGAGUAGAUUAGACAGGGCUUUAAACACAUUCCCACAUUUGAAUUCAACAUAACGCAUUCCAUGCUUGAAUCAUUGCACACUUUGAUUGAGGAGCAAUCAGUUGGAAUGAUGGCCUUUCCUCUAGCAGAAAAAAGAGCCAAUCCAAAGAAAAAAAGACAAAUAACAGCAGUUGUCAUGUUUAUUCGAAUAAUUUGAUCAACAGUGAGUAACUGAUUCAGCAACUGAAUGAUUUAAA
rnacentral:lncRNA from 1 species